rnacentral:rRNA from 1 species
GAUGAACGCUGGCUACAGGCUUAACACAUGCAAGUCGAGGGGAAACGACAGGGAAGCUUGCUUCCUUGGGCGUCGACCGGCGCACGGGUGAGUAACGCGUAUCCAACCUGCCUCUGACUGAGGGAUAACCCGUCGAAAGUCGGCCUAAUACCUCAUGGCAUCGUCUGCGGGCAUCCAACGACGAUUAAAGAUUUCAUCGGUCAGGGAUGGGGAUGCGUCUGAUUAGUUAGUUGGCGGGGUAACGGCCCACCAAGGCGACGAUCAGUAGGGGUUCUGAGAGGAAGGUCCCCCACAUUGGAACUGAGACACGGUCCAAACUCCUACGGGAGGCAGCAGUGAGGAAUAUUGGUCAAUGGGCGGGAGCCUGAACCAGCCAAGUAGCGUGCAGGAUGACGGCCCUAUGGGUUGUAAACUGCUUUUAUGCGGGGAUAAAGUGAGGGACGUGUCCUUCAUUGCAGGUACCGCAUGAAUAAGGACCGGCUAAUUCCGUGCCAGCAGCCGCGGUAAUACGGAAGGUCCGGGCGUUAUCCGGAUUUAUUGGGUUUAAAGGGAGCGUAGGCCGUGGAUUAAGCGUGUUGUGAAAUGCAGGUGCUCAACGUCUGCACUGCAGCGCGAACUGGUCCACUUGAGUGUGCGCAACGCAGGCGGAAUUCGUCGUGUAGCGGUGAAAUGCUUAGAUAUGACGAAGAACUCCGAUUGCGAAGGCAGCUGCGGGAGCACAACUG